UUCGCUGCAGAAGCGGACUAACUACCCCGGAGGUGUUCACUAAAGCUCCCGCGCACAGCUGUUCACGCUGAAUGCUUUAAAGUACCGGAGCAGCCCGGAAACAGCACGGUGCGCAGGCGCUACGCCGGGGCGGCCGGGCCACUGCGCACGCGCCCGCUCUCCCAAGCGGAAAGGACAGGGCCCGGCGGGGCAGGGUGUUGGGGUUGCUGCCGGGUCUGCGCUCUCGACUCUCCUGCGGCCGCUGCGCCACGGCUGACCCGGGUGCGGGUGGUGAUGGAGUCUGGUGAUACCAGUGCCCCGAGACCGCACUGUGUACUCGCUCAUGCCUGUCAGAGGAGAGGCAACCCCACCCUCAAGGCCUGUGCGGCCGCCGAAGAAUCCGACGGCUUGCACAAGUGAUGGGCAUGUAGCGCCCGGCUCCCGGCUCAGGCCGGCGGAGGGCGGGGCGUCCCAGUCCAGCCCGCGGCCGCGACGCAAGACCAGGAGGACUGUGUGGGGGCGAUGGUUGCCUCGGUGCACGCGCCAGCGAUCGCCAGACUUCCGUGGCCACUAGGGCGCGGAGCUCUUGGGGGCGCGGACCGCGCUGCCGCGAGCCCGGCGCUCUACCGUCAGCUCAGCGCACUCUGCGUUACCCGGCAACCCACACCCGGGCAGUCCUGCUGCCCUCGGCCUGAGCAACUUCAGUGCUGGCUAAUCAGACGACACCAUCUUCGGAUUGCUGAUCUUUCUGGAAAGUUUUAACUGUGGAGGAGAAAGGAAACGUCUUAGCUUUAGAAGCUAGGCCUGCCUUGAGGGAGUGGCAGACAGGUUGAGCGGCCUGGAUUUCUACGAAGUAGAGAGGAAGCCGGAGGAACAUAACAGGUCCUGAGGGCUUCUGAACCGCAACCAGGUCAGCCCAGAACAGCUGUACCCAGCACAUCCCUUGGAAGAGAAGAAGCGGAGGAGCUUCAAGAUGGUGGAAGAGUAAGAUGUGGAGAUCACCUUCCUCCCCACAAAUACAUCAAAAAUACAUCUACAUGUGGAACAACUCCUUCACAACACCUACUGAACGCUGGCAGAAGACCUCAGACCUCCCAAAAGGCAAGAAACUCCCCACGUACCUGGGUAGGGCAAAUGAAAAAAGAAAAAACAGAGACAAAAGAAUAGGGAUGGGGCCUGCACCAGUGGGAGGGAGCUGUGAAGGAGGAAAGGUUUCUAAACACUAGAAGCCCCUUCGCGGGCGGAGACUGCAGGUGGUGGAGCGGGGAAGCUUCGGAGCCACAGGGGAGAGUGCAGCAACAGGGGUGUGGAGGGCAAAGC